rnacentral:rRNA from 1 species
GACAGGGGGGGCAAGCGUUAUUCAUCGUGACUGGGCGUAAAGGGUGCGUAGGUGGUUAACUAGGUACGUGGUAAAUUCUGGGGAUAGACCUCAGCUAAUCACUCUAAUAUUACUAGUUGAACUGGAGUUUAUUUAGAGUUGAUGGAAUUUUUUAUGGAGUCGUAACAAGCCAAUAUAUUAAAAGGAAUACCGGAGGUGAAGACAGUCAACUGGUGUAAACUGACACUGAGGCACGAAGGCGUGGGGAGCAAACAGG